rnacentral:misc_RNA from 1 species
AACGCACCUUGCGCUCUCUGGUAUUCCGGAGAGCAUGCCUGUUUGAGUGUCAUGAAAUCUUCAACCCUCUCUUUUCUUAGUGAAUCGAGAGGUGCUUGGAUCCUGAGCGCUGCUGGCUUCGGCCUAGCUCGUUCGUAAUGCAUUAGCAUCCGCAAUCGAACUUCGGAUUGACUUGGCGUAAUAGACUAUUCGCUGAGGAUUCUGGUCUCGUACCAGAGCCGGGUUGGGUUAAAGGAAGCUUCUAAUCCUAAAAGUCUAACUUUUGAUUAGAUCUCAAAUCAGGUAGGACUACCCGCUGAACUUAA